rnacentral:piRNA from 1 species
UACCUGUAUUUCAGAUGUGUAAG